UUUAUCCAUUCCUUUUACCUUCGGGAUAAAAGCGAUAUCUGUGGGCCCCUCGAUGAUUUGAUGAUGACAAAUGGAAGUGCUCGGCCGGGCCAGGACUGAUUUGAUUUGUUCAAUUAGUCAGUCGUCAUAAAUCGGAAAUCGGGAAACAACAAAUGGACAGAGAGAAUGAUUAUAAUCCAUGUCUCAGUCCAUAUGAUAUCUAGAAUGGAGGAAUAUAUGAUCCCUUAUCUAAUGGACAAGUCAUUGACAAAGGUCAGAGUUCAUCUACAAGGUCAGAGUUCGACAGAAGCUUUUGAGAGCUACGAUUGCCGGUUGGUUCCUGAAGUCAUACGCAAUAAUAGUUUUAGACUUAUCCAAGUGGGAGACUGUUGGAUUAAUGUCUAAGUCCAUAACUAUAUUUGGUAAGACUUGACCCGACCCGGCAUGGUCCAUUUGGGUUGCAUACCAUCAUGCACUUGAAUGAGAGAAAUAAGACACUUAUGGUUAUUAAUAUAUUAUAAGUUCUAGUAUAUUAAUAAUAAGAAUAAUAAGAUUAUUUAAUUAGUAUUGAUCAAGAAUUAAUCUAGGAUUAAUUAAGUGAUCAAAAGAAGACUAAUUAAAUAUAUGGGUUGAUUGUGUAAAUCAUCCAUACUUGUAUAGUGGGCUAAUGCUCCAUGGAUAAUCAAGUUGGGCUAAAACCCAUAGGAUGGUCCAUGGAUGCUCCAUGGUGUAUUUGUACCCAUGGAUCCAAGGAAAUGGAAAGCCAUGACAAUUAAGAGUUUACCCUAAUUGUGUAACUAUAUAAGCAUCUUAUUAUUGAGGAAAAAUCGGCCACUAGUAGUAUUCAAGAAAGGGCUAGCCGAUUUUGGUGAGUGUAGAAUUCUCUCAAGUCAUUCUAAGUGUUUUGAUGAUUGUGAUUCCAUUUGAGGUGUCACACUUGGGGCACUAAGCACUCAAGCUUCAUGAAGACUUUCUACAUCAAGAGGUAUGUAUUCUAUCUUGUUACAUUAUUGUUUUGUAUGCUAGAUUAGGAUAAUACCUUGGAAGUUCUUAUUUGCAUGUAUAAUAGAGAAAACAUAGAUCCAAGGUAUUUAGGGUUGCAUGUACACUUAGGAGUGUUAGAAUGCACAAAACCCAACAGACAUAUGGAAGUGCUCGGCCAGGCCAGGAGUGAUUUGAUUUGUUCACUUAGUCAGUCGUCAUAAAUCGGAAAGGAAACAACAAAUGGACAGAGAGAAUGAUUAUAAUCCAUGUCUCAGUCCAUACGAUAUCAAGAAUGGAGGAAUAUAUGAUCCCUUAUCUAAUGGACAAGUCAUCGACAAAGGUCAGAGUUUAUCGACAAGGUCAGAGUUCGACAGAAGCUUUUGAGAGCUACGAUUGCCAGUCGGUUCUUGAAGUCAUACGCAAUAAUAGUUUUAGGCUUAUCCAAGUGGGAGACUGUUGGAUUAAUCUCUAAGUCCAUAACUAUAAUUGGUAAGACUUGACCCGACCAGGCAUGGUCCAUUUGGGUUGCAUGGCAUCAUGCACUUGGAUAGACUAAAUGUCAGAAAUAAGACACUUAUGGUUAUUAAUAUAUUAUAAGUUCUAGUAUAUUAAUAAUAAGAAUAAUAGUAUUUAAUUAGUAUUGAUCAAGAAUUAAUUUAGGAUUAAUUAAGUGAUCAAAAGAAGACUAAUUAAAUAUAUUGGUUGAUUGUGCGAAUCAUCCAUAACUUAUAUAGUGGGCCAAAGCUCCAUGGAUAAUCAAGUUGGGUUAAACCCAUAGGAUGCUCGAUAGGUGCUCCAUGGAGGUUACAUAACCCAUGGGUGAUGGAAAUGAAAGGUCAUGACAAUUAGGGUUUACAUGGUGCAACCCUUAUUGUAACACACUAUAUAAGCAUCAUAUUAUUCACCAAAAUCGGCGACUAGUGUGUGUAAUAGAAGGCGUAGCCGAUUUCAUGAAGUGUAGAUUUUUCUCAUGUUAUUCCAAGUGUAUUUGGUGUUGUGUGAACCAUUUGAGGUGUCACG
rnacentral:lncRNA from 1 species